rnacentral:rRNA from 1 species
CCUACGGGAGACAGCAGUGCGGAAUAUUGGUCAAUGGACGAGAGUCUGAACCAGCCAAGUAGCGUGAAGGAUGACUGCCCUAUUGGUUGUACACUUCUUUUAUAUGGGAAUAAAAUGUUCCACGUGUGGGAUUUUGUAUGUACCAUAUGAAUAAGGAUCGGCUAACUCCGUGCCAGCAGCCGCGGUAAUACGGAGGAUCCGAGCGUUAUCCGGAUUUAUUGGGUUUAAAGGGAGCGUAGGUGGAUUGUUAAGUCAGGUGUGAAAGUUUGCGGCUCAACCGUAAAAUUGCAGUUGAAACUGGCAGUCUUGAGUACAGUAGAGGUGGGCGGAAUUCGUGGUGUAGCGGUGAAAUGCUUAGAUAUCACGAAGAACUCCGAUUGUGAAGGCAGUUCACUGGACUGCAACUGACACUGAGGCUCGAAAGUGUGGGUAUCAAACAGGAUUAGAUACCCUUGUAGUC